rnacentral:miRNA from 1 species
ACCUAUAAUAAUCUGACAUAUA